rnacentral:misc_RNA from 1 species
UUCUAUGGAGAAUCGUUUCCUGCAACGGAAACAUUCAAAUCAGCAGGUACAACGUACCUGCGACCGGAUAUUCAAUUCGGUUCAUCACGUACGUGUGAAUGAAAUGAAUAUCCUUAACUUAUUCACUCGUUGCUCAGUUUUGAGAGUUCAAACUCUCACAUAGGAUUUCCAAAAUAUACUUGUAUUCAAGUGUUGAGGAAUUUGAUAUGAUGUUUUUCCGGGGUUAAAGCCGGAGAGAAUAUUGCACCUUGAAAACUGGAUACCGAAACGAAAUUGCGUUUUAGAAUAUUCCUUUAAGCUGAUCUUGUGUAAACAAGUGAAAUAAAGGUAGCUGCCUUGAAUUUCAUUCACACAUUUGUGUUGAACCGAAAUUCAAAGCGAAUCGUAUUUACGAUGUAAAUACUA